CAAAUACAAAUUUGUGUUUUCAAUUUAAUAGGAGCAUCGGACUAUUUGGAAAAGUAUAGAUUGAGCGUGCGAAUAUCCUGAAAUUUCCCACAACAUCAUGAGUAUUCGAUUCAUUCGGAACCGAGAGUGAAGUGCCAAUGCGCCUUGAUCAACAUCAACCCGUCACCAAGUUGUUCAGGUUUUCUGAGAACCAGUCAGUUGGCGUUGUCAAAUCAAUCCUGCACCCAUCGGAGGGAGACGUAUACAUUCCGGAAUGCACUGAUAUGCUUAGAAGUCCUAGAACAUAAUGCGUGAUAAAACCAAAGUAUUUCUGUAUAUGGACAUAGGUACUGUGAGGCUCGCCAACAUACAACAAGUAAAGUAAUGAAAUGAUUGAACUCACGGAAAACAGAAAGAAAAGGUUCAUGGAGGAAAGCCUCUGCCUAAGACGACGCACGGAAUGCAGAGGACAUAAAAGUGAGAACGUCUCUUACUCGUUCUCGAUUUAAACGAGGAUUUCUGGAUAGUCGUAAUGGAUUAUCUGGACAUAUUAAACCAGCUAAGCUUUGCUUCCACAAACAUGUAUAUUUAUCGUUACAAACAUAUUGACACAUCUCUCACGAGCAUCUGGAAAAACUGCUGCAGAUUGCUGGCGAGCAUGUGGUUAGCUACGAGGGCGUACUGGAUGACGAUCGGCAUUUUGGGGAGACACUGCACGAAUAUCGAAAAUUUGAAAAUGACCUUUCGACGGACCAGCGGCGGAUGUUAUGUUAUGACCAAUAUGGCUGGAUUAUAGAAUUCUAGAAAUCCAUUGGAUUUGUGUAUGCUAUCCGGCAGUAUUAAAUACGAGCUUAGCCGUAAGUCCAUCGACAUUAUGACACCCUCUGAAGAGGAGAACUGGGGCAAAGCUUCCCACAAUGUAAGCUGUGAUCACUACGCUGUAACCGAUGAGAAGAAAGAUUCGGGUAUGUGUCUAGCUGAUUUAAAAACAGGCAUUUGUCAGCUGAAUAUGAUUAUAUUACUUAAAAAAAAGUAUAAUUUUUCCGCAUUUAUUGGUCAUAACCUAACGAUCAUUAUCCGCUAGCUUAUGAAAUUCACUAUUUUUUCGACCAGCUAUUCAAGGAACUAAGGAAAUCUAAUUGACAGACAGUAAAAUG